AUGCUCACUUCGGUGGCACAUAUACCAAAAUUGGAGCCAUACAGAGAAGAGUAGCAUGAACCCUGGGCAAGGGUGGCAUGCAAUUUGUGUAGUGUUCCAUAUUAAA
rnacentral:snRNA from 1 species